rnacentral:rRNA from 1 species
UACGUAGGGUGCAAGCGUUAUCCGGAAUUAUUGGGCGUAAAGAGCUCGUAGGCGGUUUGUCGCGUCUGCUGUGAAAACUGGAGGCUCAACCUCCAGCUUGCAGUGGGUACGGGCAAACUAGAGUGCGGUAGGGGAGAUUGGAAUUCCUGGUGUAGCGGUGGAAUGCGCAGAUAUCAGGAGGAACACCGAUGGCGAAGGCAGAUCUCUGGCCGUAACUGACGCUGAGGAGCGAAAGCAUGGGGAGCGAACAGG